rnacentral:rRNA from 1 species
UACGGAGGGUGCAAGCGUUAUCCGGAUUUACUGGGUUUAAAGGGUGCGUAGGUGGGUCUGUAAGUCAGCGGUGAAAUCUCCGGGCUUAACCCGGAAACUGCCAUUGAUACUAUAGAUCUUGAAUAUCCUGGAGGUGAGCGGAAUAUGUCAUGUAGCGGUGAAAUGCUUAGAUAUGACAUAGAACACCAAUUGCGAAGGCAGCUCACUACGGGAUCAUUGACACUGAGGCACGAAAGCGUGGGGAUCAAACAGG